UACGUAGGGUGCGAGCGUUAAUCGGAAUUACUGGGCGUAAAGCGUGCGCAGGCGGUCUGUUAAGACCGAUGUGAAAUCCCCGGGCUUAACCUGGGAACUGCAUUGGUGACUGGCAGGCUUUGAGUGUGGCAGAGGGAGGUAGAAUUCCACGUGUAGCAGUGAAAUGCGUAGAGAUGUGGAGGAAUACCGGUGGCGAAGGCGGCUACCUGGACCAGCACUGACACUGAGGCACGAAAGCGUGGGGAGCAAACAGG
rnacentral:rRNA from 1 species